rnacentral:sRNA from 1 species
AGAAUGCCUGCUCCUGCUGGAGCAAAUGCCUUGAAGAAGGACAUUAAAGUGGUGGCUAAGCCAUUUGCGGUUGCUCUUUGAUGCUGGGGCUAUUUAUUCAAUAGAGAAAUAAGCAUUAAAACAAUAAUUGUAUGUAGAAAAGGUUAAUAAAAUUUAAUUAGAUAACGGGAUACAUACCACAGAGUUGUUCUGAAGAAUGAAAGAGCAUGUAUUGAUAGUAACCUAAUAAAUAUGUAGGAGCAAAUGACAAAGCAUUAGUGGCCAAGACUUGUAUGAUAUAUUGUAUUUAGCUACCCUGAAUAGAAUGCAAGAAUAUUGACCAAUUUGAUAACUUGACAUGUACCUGUAAUUGCAAGAACUUGACCAACAUCCUCAGACGAGAAAUUUAGUCCGCCAAAUUGUUUGUCACUUUCAGACCAUAGAGAAAAUAUCUAAAAUUUGAUUUCAAUUAUCAUCAAAGGAGACAAUGCAGAAGAGAACAAUAGAUGACAUUAAUGGCCAAUUUUUAAAUAAGCUCUUAUCUUUAGCUGGUCCAGUGUGUUGCUUGACAAACUCUUCGGAGUCAACCAAAUAAUAAAAUUAGCUAGUUGUGCACAUACCGGGAGCCAAAUGCAACUUAUGAGAAUAACGAAGCAGAAGAUCGAUAUACAUAAACAAGGUAGAAAAUAUGGGAACCUAAGGAAAGAUUUUCAAGAAUCAGUCAUUUAAGGAUAGGAUACCUGUGCAAGAUAUCCACCGAUAGCUGGCCCAACAAUGAGACCUAUUGCCCAUGAUGUGCUAACCUAAUCAUAAAAAAAGAGUGUCAUAAUGUAAAGUGCAAUAUAACUAUAGUAAAAAAUAUUAUAGAACUUUGUAGUAUACCAAUGACAAUCCAAUGGAUUGAUGCUCUGGUCGACAAACUUCAACGGCAUAAGCCUGUAAAGCCCGGUUGUAGUAUGCUAGAUAGUUAUAGUAUUUCAAUAGUGAAUAGCAAAUAUGAAUUUAGAUAAUUUAAUCACCGUACUCUUAUUGGUCCAAGUAAGCCAUUCAAUGAACCUAUAAGAAAUCGUGUAGUUAUCGCCAUCCAAUAGUGUGUACUUAGUCCAAAGAGAGUAUUGAAUACAAAUCUGAUUUCACAACACAAGGUAAAGCUUCCUCCCAAUACGAUCUGCUACCAUCCCCCAAGCAGUGGAAGUUAAAGCUCUACCAAACAUAUAUGACGCACCUAAUAUGUUGAGAAUUAUAAUAUGUCAUGUUUGCGAUAGAUAAAUGGCGAAGCAUGCAUGAACACGUAGGAGUAUAAAUGAAGCAGUGAUCGAUAGGAGGCGCGUACGUACAUGAGACGAGGAUGAUGAUCCAGAUGUGGAAGAAGCGCAUGUAGGGGAUGCCCGGGUUGACCGCCUUGCUGCGCUCCACGGCGCAGGCGGGGCAGCCCUCAUGGUAUUGGUACGCCGUCUCCAGCACCAGCAAUGGCGUCGCAGCGUCGCCUGCAGCCAUC